UAUUCGCAUCUUAAGACAUUACUUAAGACGGUCUUGAAAUAAGAUUCGACUAUGAAUACCUAUGAAUUGAGGAUUGCUAUCGGUCCAAUCAGCAUUGGCCGGCAUUGAAUGGAUACAUCCAAUAAUACAACCGCUCAGUCAGUUCUUGAAUCUAGUUCAUACUUUUAAAUACCGGUAAAAUCUAAAAGUAUGCACCAAUUAGGUUCAAGAGCUCACUGAACUCAGAAGAGCUUAGUGAAGUCGUUUUUCAUCAGAGUUCGUCAAUUAUUUUGGCACUCCCCUAAGUAACCACUGAAAAUGAGCAUCUCACAGAAUGGAUAGUCGACAACGUCUUUCGCUUUCUAGAAAAGGCCCACGAAUACAACAGGAGCUAGAAUGCACGCCGUUUUACGUCGACUCUGCCGCGACGCUGAAUAUUUUUCUUGCUACAUACAAUUUAUAAACAUUUUUUCUAAAUAAAAAAUAUGUUUUUAAUACUUUAAAAUCUCCUCCUUUAAAAAAGAAAGUUAUUUUGUUUAAUUCGUGUUAACUCUUCGUUCCAAUUUCUGUUAUUUAUGAUGCAUUAUAUACAAUGUACUUUAGGCACAUGAAUACUCGUUGCAAUGUAACUCAUAUAUAUGUAGAUAAUACUCCAAUUAAGUCCUUCGUUAUGAAAUAUCUGCAUAUAUCUGAACUUUUAAACUUUUACAUUUUGCCUGUUCAUGCUGGCAAAAUGAGUAAUCCAAUAAAC